AACGCUAGCUACAGGCUUAACACAUGCAAGUCAAGGGGCAGCAUUAGGUAGCAAUUCUGAGGUGGCGACCGGCGCACGGGUGCGUAACGCGUAUCCAACCUUCCCGUUACUCUUGGAUAGCCUUCCGAUUAGGGAGAUUAAUACAGGAUGGUGUUUGAAUUCCGCAUGUUAUUCAAACUAAAGAUUUAUCGGUAACGGAUGGGGAUGCGUGACAUUAGGUAGAUGGCGGGGUAACGGCCCACCAUGCCUACGAUGUCUAGGGGUUCUGAGAGGAAGGUCCCCCACACUGGAACUGAGACACGGUCCAGACUCCUACGGGAGGCAGCAGUGAGGAAUAUUGGUCAAUGGCCGGAAGGCUGAACCAGCCAAGUAGCGUGAAGGAUGAAGGUUCUAUGGAUUGUAAACUUCUUUUAUACGGGAAUAAAACCACCUACGUGUAGGUGCUUGUAUGUACCGUAUGAAUAAGCAUCGGCUAACUCCGUGCCAGCAGCCGCGGUAAUACGGAGGAUGCGAGCGUUAUCCGGAUUUAUUGGGUUUAAAGGGAGCGUAGACGGGAGAUUAAGUCAGUUGUGAAAGGCUGCGGCUCAACCGCAGCACUGCAGUUGAUACUGGUUUCCUUGAGUGCGGUUGAGGUGUAUGGAAUUCGUGGUGUAGCGGUGAAAUGCUUAGAUAUCACGAAGAACUCCGAUUG
rnacentral:rRNA from 1 species